CAACCCUAACAGAAGAAAAAAAAUCGAUAUAGUAACAAAAAUACGGAGCUAGGCUUCUAUAUUUUCGAAAGUAAGAAGCAUCCAUACUUAUAAAUUAUUUUCGACAAUUAAAUAUCUAAUUAAGUAAUCGAUUUCGUUAGAUAUGAUCUACGCUAAUAGAACUAUCUAAAAACCAAAUUUUCAUAAUUUUUUAACUUUAUUUACCUAGUGAACAAACAAUCUCAAAAUAAACGAUUGAAAAUAAAAAUCUCAUAAAAAUAAUAAUAAAAAAUUUAAAUUUCAAAUCAAAAAAAUUGAUCUUGCUAUUAAUGUUAAAUAAAAUUUUCUAUUAAAAUUUCAUAUAAUUUAAAUUAUUCUACACUGUUGAACUUAAAAAUAUGCCACAUCGGCCGUUAAAAUAACUAUUUUUGCAACCUUUUAAUCACUUAAUAAAUAAUAUUAAAAAAUUAUAAAAUUAGAUUCCUAGAUAGUUUCAAUAACGUAAAUUAUAUCUAACGGAGCCAAUCAUCAAAUCGAAUGUCCUAUCAUCAAAAAUAAUUUAUAAGUACGAAAGACUCCGUACUAAGUACAAAAGCACAAGAUACGUACUCCAGAGAUACGUUAUUAGUUUUUUUUUAACAUAUGUCAAUAUGCAUUGAAACAAAGCACAUUCCAAAAUAACAUUCCAACUAAUCCUAAUCCUACCAUCCUCGUUCCGCAUUCUUAAGAAACCAGCAAACUAUAUUUUCGUAUCCAUAUUUCCGUAUCCGUACCUCGCACCACAGCAAUACAUACUCAUAAUAUAUACUCAUAUUAUACAGAAUUGAUUUGCUAAUCAUCAUGGUAUCAAAGAUUGAAACUAACAUAAUCCAUUGCGAACGACUAAUUUUUGACAAAGGAUUAGUGCAAGGAACUCGGUUUCUAAUGCUCUGUCUUCACUUUGGCAUCUCCGUUCGGUAAAACGUUCUGCGACUGAGUCUGCCUCUUCGACUCCUGCACAAUACAGCGGUUUAUAUUAGAUUGACAGCUUGAUGAUUGUAGAGCGCGACAAAAAAGCAAAGAUAAGUAGCAUUCCAUUCAUGUCAAAAGAAUAUCUCGCACCAUAUCAUGUGACUAGGAGUGCAACUAGGGGAGGUUGGUUAGUGGGGUACAGAAUAAUACUGAACAUUUGGGCCUGUUUGUUUCGCCGAAGGUCAAGUUCGGACAGAGG
rnacentral:lncRNA from 1 species